CUUGAGGGAUCCCAGCCACAGCGGGUCCCCGCCGGUGCGGUCCUGGCCGUAGGUGGCGAGCAGGGCUUGUGCCUC
rfam:Streptomyces sp. CB03911 scaffold41, whole genome shotgun sequence.